AACCCCUUGGUCGAGGCCACGGCGACCUCGGGCCCGGCCCGGGUGUAGAGGACGGCGUCGGACUCGCGCGGGAUGGUCGACCCGUUGGCGUUGC
rnacentral:tRNA from 1 species